rnacentral:lncRNA from 1 species
CCCCCCUUUUUUAAGCAUAAAAAUUCAUAACACGGAAAUGUAAAAUCUGAAAUUAUAAAAAUUGAAAGGGAGCUUACAUCAAUAGAUUUAAACAAUUCACCAAAGUUUCAUGGACAUUGGUGAAAGCCUUUUUGAGUUAUUGUCCGAAGUGUUGAAAAUCUCCCUUUUUUUUAUGAAUAAAGCCCCAUAAAUCUAAAACUUAAAAUCUGAAAUUUAUAAAAUUGAAGGGAGCUUACAUCAAUAGAUAUAAACAUUCACCAAAGUUUCAUGGACAUUGGUGGAAGCCUUUUUGAGUUAUUGUCCGAAGUGUUGAAAAUCCCCCUUUUUUUUUACAAAUAAAGCCCCAUAAAUCCAAAACUUAAAAUCUGAAAUUUAUAAAUAUUGAAAGG